GACGGGUACCAGUCUACACCACACACAACUCUCGUUAAUCGUUUGUUCUGGCGGCGCAAUUUAACUUAAUUUGAUUAAUUUUUAUUAAUCAAAAGCCGAUAGUCACGUAAUCUCUGUGUUCGUAAACACGCACAGCAGUAAUCCACUGCAAAGUCCGGUGCAAAGUCUGUGCAUCAGUGGGUGAUACACAGAAAUCUGUGCAUCACUUCGUGAUAUAAUUAAGGUGCCUAAAGUGGAUUUGCACCCAGAAGAACAACAGUCAACACGAGUCUCACCAUGGCAAGUUUAGCUGGAAAAGUAGCCCUCAUCACAGGUGCAAGUUCUGGAAUCGGCGCUGCCACUGCUAUAUUAUUUGCCAAACACGGAGUGAGGUUGUCACUGACAGGUCGAAACAUGGACAAUCUCAAUAAAACAAAGAAUGAUUGCUUGCAAGUCAACAAUAAG
rnacentral:lncRNA from 1 species